rnacentral:rRNA from 1 species
UACGUAGGGACCAAGCGUUGUCCGGAAUCAUUGGGCGUAAAGCGCGCGUAGGCGGCCCGGUAAGUCCGUUGUAAAAGUCGAAGGCUCAACCUUCGAAAGCCGAUGGAUACUGCCGGGCUAGAGUACGGAAGAGGCGAGUAGAAUUCCUGGUGUAGCGGUGGAAUGCGCAGAUAUCAGGAGGAAUACCCAUAGCGAAGGCAGCUCGCUGGGACGUUACUGACGCUGAGACGCGAAAGCGUGGGGAGCGAACAGG